GGCCAGACUCGACUGCGGGGGGUUACCCCGGAGCGUUGGGCAGCCGGCGGGGGCCACAAUCGGGCGGCAUGAGCGGUGGGGACGCAGGAUGCGCUCCAAAUACACGGCCGCGGGGCUGUGCGGGGCUCCCUGCCCGGCACAGGGUUUGUAUGGUGCGCACCUCAGUUCAGCUCAUUUUCAAAAUGGUUUUUUCUUCCUUACCUAGAAACAGAAGGCAGCUGAUCUUAAAGGCAAUGAAAAAACGUCGUGAGGAGUUGGAUUCCAUUUUGCAGCAGGGCUGGGUUGCACAACUGAAAUCCAUCGGAUCAGAUUUGGCAUUUCCAUCACUGAGAAGGUUAAUAAAACCUCUAAUAGGAUUUGUGACCGCAAGAACCACAGACCAAGGCCCAGCAGUUAAAUCCUGCUGGAUCUUCAUUGUCUAAGGCUUUGUCUGGAUCCAAGAGUUCUCCACUAUCGCUUGGACUACCCUCAGGAAAUCUUGAAAAGUGUGAGAGUCACAUUGCUAUCAACUGCCCCCAUUUAUAUCUGACAACUGGCUGGAGUCUGACCAAUGAAGACAUCAAAGACGUUGACGUGAUUGGUGAAGAGAGACGCUGCCCUUUCCCACAGGACUAAUUCGCUAGAGAUCAGUCCAGCAAUGGAUAUUGUCUUACACUAACAACUUUUCCAUCUUUAUGUAAUCUUAUAACUUGAGGGGAUCAGACAACAGAUACAUGGAUAAUGAAGAUCCUACAGAAAUAUAAAUAAAAAAUACGAUGUGUAACAUGUGUGUCUGAGAGUUGUGAGGUCAUUGACGUUUUUUAUGUAGUUGUAGAUAUUUUAUUUUUUGUAGUGAAUGCUA